GACGAACGCUGGCGGCGUGCCUAAUACAUGCAAGUCGAGCGCAGGAAAUCGACGGAACCCUUCGGGGGGAAGUCGACGGAAUGAGCGGCGGACGGGUGAGUAACACGUAAAGAACCUGCCCUCAGGUCUGGGAUAACCACGAGAAAUCGGGGCUAAUACCGGAUGGGUCAUCGGACCGCAUGGUCCGAGGAUGAAAGGCGCUUCGGCGUCGCCUGGGGAUGGCUUUGCGGUGCAUUAGCUAGUUGGUGGGGUACUGGCCCACCAAGGCGACGAGGCAUAGCCGACCUGGGAGGGUGAUCGGCCACACUGGGACUGAGACACGGCCCGGACUCCUACGGGAGGCAGCAGUAGGGAAUCUUCCACAAUGGACGAAAGUCUGAUGGAGCAACGCCGCGUGAACGAUGAAGGCCUUCGGGUCGUAACGUUCUGUUGUAAGGGAAGAACAAGUGCCGCAGGCAAUGGCGGCACCUUGACGGUACCUUGCGAGAAAGCCACGGCUAACUACGUGCCAGCCGCCGCCGUAA
rnacentral:rRNA from 1 species